ensembl:lncRNA
ACUUGGAAAGGGCUUAAGCACUGCUUGUGUGCUCUGUUAAGGGCACUGAGAUAAAAGGAGGAGUUUAAAAUGAACUAGGGGACACUGGGGAGCUGCCGGGAUUUAGAAAAGGCUUACAGUGACAUACAGUAAUAGUGCAGUGAUCUUUGACACACAAGAGUCGUCCUUGGUUCAUAAAUUGCAUAGUUUGUGAUACUAAAAAUCAGGGUUUGUUUUCAAGAUGAGAAGCAAUAAGACUGCCAAUAUUCAGGAAAUGGUUCCAAGAGCAAUUUGCUCCAUUAGCCACAGACCUGAGGCUCCCUGUGAGAACAUGUCAUCACCUCAGGGAUGAGGAAAACUGGGUGGAAAGUAGAAGAAUGUGCACCAGCUGGACCACCAGAAACUACAGCAGGUGGUCAAAAAGCAGUGGGCUGAAGGUGCAUCUGCUUAGCUCCACCAAAUGUGAAGAGCCGGUCCCAGAAAGGCAGGCUAGAAAAGCCUCCCUGUAGGAGGGCAACCCUGUGUGAGGAGGAAUUCUGUGACAUCCCUUUGCUGCAUACACACUUCCAUGUCAGAAGCCAUUUGUCAGAAUGCCCCUCUGCUGCCUGGAGCUGUUCAGCCUGGAGGAGAGAAGACUAAGAGAUUGCCUUGUGCAGCUAGGGUGGUUCCCGACUUCACUCCGUAUUUGGAUGAGAGCACAAGGAAGAAGAUAGGGGAAUUGAAGAAGAUAUUCCAAGUUGAAACUAUCUGGAAAGCUCAUCCAGACCUAUCUGCAAUCCAAGACAUAUACUGCUUUGUGAGCAAUGUACAAGGAUUCCCUGUACCCAUAGCCUUCUCAGCAUGUAUGCAGAACACCCACGAAAAACCCAUGCAAAAUCCCCAGAUUUGGGUCUAGCUGCAGGGGAGGAAGAAAUUAACACCAGAAGGCUAAAGGAAGAAGCAAAGCAACAGAGGCAAAAAAUGAAGCAUACAGAUCAUGAGAAAGGAAGCAAGAAGAUGUUUAGAAGCAUCUUUGGUUGGGAAAGUGGGAAUUCAACACAACUAGAACAGGAGAUGCCUCACAGCUACUUAGGAAUCACUGUGAGCCAGCUGGGCUCAGAGGCAUUGUGUAACAUCCGUCUCCACCUUAGCUAUUCCAGUUUUCAGGACAACAUUUGCCAUAUUCUAAGAGAUGAACUGCAUUCAGGAUGCAAACUUGAUUGUUGCGAGUACAGGGGAAAACAAAGAUGGAAUAAGUAAGGGUAAAACAGUACCUGGUGAUGUCUCCGUAUUGUACUAGUGUGAUACAGGCUACUCAGGGUUAAAAUGAUCAGUGUUAUCAUAGAAUCCUGAAGAUUGGAAAACACCACUAAGGUCAUCAAAUCCAACCACCAACUGAAUGCAAACAUACAGCUUUCUACUUUUGUACACAGAAAAACAAGUCCAUUCUUAGCACCCAAACUCUUCUCCCAAGCAGCCUUAGAGCAGAAAAUUGAAGCACCAUCCUCAAUGUGAUAAGACAAAACAUGAAAAAGGUUAUUUACCCCUGCCACCCCUGCAGAGCACCAGCAACUUGGGCUGGGCUUGCCAGAGGGAUGCAGCCAUGUUGUGCCAUCCCUCCAGGGACACCGUGAUAACGCAGCCAAAAGGCAUCUCCAGUACUGUAGAGUGAUGAGAGAUGAGAGUGGUUUCCAAAGACACGGGCCUCUCGUUUUUGCCGAGCAGAUUGAGUCUCCCUGCCUGGCUGCUGAGCAAAGGGUAUGAUUAAUGGAAAGAUGUCAGGAUGAUAAUCCUUACUAUCACAAAACACUGGACAGGGUGUUUUUCUUGGCAAAUUGAGGGGUAGCGGAAAGAGAAUAAGAAAGCAAAAAGGAAGCAAGAGAAAGGGAGAGGUUUUGAAGAGAGAAAGUAGAAACGUUAUAUGCAUAUAUAUACACACAUACAUACACAUAUAUAUUUAAAAAAAAUACAACCGUCCCUCUGCCCAUCCUCUUUAAUGUUUCUCUGGUGGAGUAAUAAGAUACCUUCAGCGUUAUAAAUAGCGGCACAGAUGUUGACAGAAAAAUGCUCCCUUAAUUACCAUACAAACUGCUUUACUUGAGUGAACCGUUUAAAGCGGCCUCCAAAGGAAGUUCACUCAAGCAAUUCCACAGAUUACAGCUAAUGAACAAUAUUUCCUCGCUCCUAUUUAGUGCUCAUUAAAAUGUAAAAGCCUUUCAUUUUCAACAGGCAUACAAUAAAUAAUUCCUCUCUCCC